rnacentral:rRNA from 1 species
GCCCUAUGAAUAAUUUUAAUGGCCGCAGUAUCUUGACUGUGCGAAGGUAGCAUAAUCAUUUGUUUUUUUAUUGAAAACUGGCAUGAAAGAGGCGACGAAAUAUAAUCUUUUAUUUUUAUAAAAUAAAAUUAACAUAAAGGUCAAAAGGCCAUUUAUAUCCCAAAGGGACGAUAAGACCCUAUAAAAUUUUACUUUUUAAUAAAAAUAUUGAUUAGACAUAAUUUUUUAUACUAGAGUUGGGCUGGGGCGGUAAAAAUAAAAACUACUAAUAUAUAGAAUAUACAUAUAUAGCUUAAUAGGACUUAAAUAAAAUAUAGAACAAGUUACUUUAGGGAUAACAGCAUAAUUCUUUCAGAUAGUUCUUAUUGGCGAAAGAGUUUAUGACCUCGAUGUUGAAUUGGAAGUCCUUAUAUAAGCAAACAUAUAUACAGGCAGUCUGUUCGACUGUUAAAUUUUC